GCAGCAGGUAGCUUAGCGGAUAGACGUGCUGCUGCUCAGGGACGGAUAUUUCUACUGUAACGAGGCGCGUCACUGGCGGGCGCCAUGUUUGAGCGGGAAAAGAUGUUUCUUGUGAAUAAGUACUGCGACUUUCGAGGCUCAAGGCUUCAUCAGGUGAUGUUAACGUGGUCAGCGGCGAGGGCUACUUGUCCAGUUGCUCCCUCAGUCCUGCACGCCAUAGGCGCCGCUGUCAGCGAUGAGGGCAGGAGAACCGAGGACACGUCGCCAGUGAAAGGAAGCUGUAACUUUACGAGGCUCUUCACCGGACCCUGUACAUCACUAGUGUGUCAUGUUUGCGUGACCCGGAGUGGCACGGUUGAGUUUGCCUUCGAGAAGAGAACAUAUCUUACUUCUUCCCCGCGAGGACAGCUUAACAGCCAGACACUUUAUUGCUGUGGAUUGUGUCUCUCUGUGUGUGUGAGGUGAAAACAACGAUUUGAUCGUGUGCUGUAACUGCGCUUAGAAGUGACUGUCCUUAAGGUUACCGGCUUGCCGUGGGAAAUGUAUUUCUCAUAAAUGAUAAAUCACUGCUUCUCCAUCCGAGUGGGCGUCUCAGAUCGGCGAAAAGCAAAUAGGGUUUACUGGGUUUUGUUUGAACAAAUUAGUCUGUUUCUAGUAAAAUCAUAACCUAGAGCCUGAGCCUUUCGUAUCUAAUGAAAAUCUUAUUAGAACCUGG
rnacentral:lncRNA from 1 species